GGGCAGAGCUGUUUCAGUGGGGAGGCAGGGAAGGAUGCUAGAUUAAGCAAAGAGUAAAUGUGUCCUGAAGCUGUGGAAUCAGUGAGUGUGAAGAGGUGUUUUGAGAAGCUUGAUAGAUUGAGGAGUGAAGGAAAAUGGCCCUCAUUUCUCUUUAAUUAUAGGGAAGAUCUGAAAAUGUUGCUAAACAAUGGAAAAGGGUUCAUUAAACAGGGAGACUUCAACUGUGUAAAAGAGAUGGGGCCACUGAGGGGUAAAGAAUGUCAAGAAGAGACAGAUGGGAGAAGGACAAAGAGUAGCUGAGAGGUUGAGCUUUGGAGCUGGACAUACUAAGAUCUGAAUCCCAGCUCUACCUUUUUCUAGCUGUGCAUCCUUGGGCAAAUUGCUUAACCUUUCUGGGCCAUUGCCUAGACUUUAAAAUGGGGUUAAUAAUGCUUGCCUCACAGAGUUGUUCUAAGAGCCAAAUAAAUAGAAUGCUAUGGAAUGUUCUCUCAUGCCUGACUCCUUGUGAUCCCAUGAACUGCAGGCUGCCAGGCUCCUCUGUCCAUGGAAUUUUUCCAGGGGAUCUUCCCAACCCAGGGAUUGAACUUGCAUUUCCUGAGUCUCCUGCAUUGGCACGUGGAUUCCUUACCACUGCGCCACCUGGGAAGCAAGAACAUGAUGAGCCCAGGAUAAAAUAGCGGCUCCUACUGGGGCAAGACAAUAGAGGGGGUCCUGCUGCUGAGAGCUAACCCCAAAGCACUUGGGUGCAGAAGAUGCCUGGCUUCAGCUUUGCCUCCAGAUCUGCAGUUUACAGGGACCUAUUAAGAAGAACAGCUUCGGUUUUCUCUUUCUUGUCCUUUUAUUUUUUUCUCCGAACCAAAGGUCAGUUGCCUUUGUCUUCUGCUUCUGAGCAUUCCAGGAGAGACUCCUGUACUCCUUUCAAGAGAAAAGAAGUAACAGACAAGACAAAGCGAGGCACAUUCAGAAGUUGCAUUCUGUCUUUAAAAGCAGAAGGUACUAGAGAUGGAAAUUAUAUUUUAAGACAAAAAGUAUAUCAUGAGUUUCUGCUGGUAUCUCUAGCUCAAAUAAGGGCUGCAGGUUUUUCUCAUAAAUCAUAAACAUCACAUUUGUAUCUCCUUUCUGAUAUGCCAAAAAUCCAAGUUUAGUGACACCAACAUAAUUACUCAUUUUCUCUAUCCCACUAUAUACAUGUUUCAGAACACGCAUACUUACACUACCGCCUAUAAUAUGAU
ensembl:lncRNA